rnacentral:lncRNA from 1 species
UAGGUCUCUUGGGCCAACACUCCCCAAAAAGCUAGCCUGAUAGGGGUUUGCACCCUCAACCUUAUAAACCAUGCUACCACACCCUCACCACACAAUGUGGGACUAUUCCCAACAAUCUCCCCCUCACACAUUGUGAGCCAAGAUUUGUCUGAGAAUGCACUGGGCCAACCUGGCUCUGAUACCAAUUGUUGGAACCGGACCGCCGACACAUGGCGUGUCCGUCGGGGCGCCCGCACACACGGUGCGCCCACCCAGGCUGUCGGGCCGCGACACACGCGCCCGCACGUAUAGCAGCGGACUUUAGGUCUCUUGGGCCAACACUCCCCCUAAAAAGCUAGCCUAAUAGGGGGUUGCACCCUCAACCAUAUAAACCAUGCUUUUCCACUCUCACCAAACAAUGUGGGACUAUUCCCAACAAUCUCCCCCUCACACAUUGUGAGCCGAGAUUUGUCUUGAGAAUGCACUGGGCCAACCUGGCUCCGAUACCAAUUGUUGGAACCGGACCGCCGACACACGGCGUGUCCGUCGGGACCGCCCGCACACACGGCGCGCCCAUCCAGGCUGUCGGGCCGCGACACACGCGCCCGCACGUAUAGCAGCGGGCUUUAGGUCUCUUGGGCCAACACUCCCCAAAAAGCUAGCCUGAUAGGGGUUUGCACCCUCAACCUUAUAAACCAUGCUACCACACCCUCACCACACAAUGUGGGACUAUUCCCAACAAUUUCCCCCUCACACAUUGUGAGCCAAGAUUUGUCUGAGAAUGCACUGGGCCAACCUGGCUUUGAUACCAAUUGUUGGAACCGGACCGCCGACACAUGGCGUGUCCGUCGGGGCCUCCCGCACACACGGCGCGCCCACCCAGGUUGUCGGGCCGAGACACACGCGCCCGCACGUAUAGCAGCGGGCUUUAGGUCUCUUGGGCCAACACUCCCCCAAAAAGCUAGCCUGAUAGGGGUUUGCACCCUCAACCUUAUAAACCAUGCUACCACACCCUCACCACACAAUGUGGGACUAUUCCCAACAAUCUCCCCCUCACACAUUGUGAGCCAAGAUUUGUCUGAGAAUGCACUGGGCCAACCUGGCUCUGAUACCAAUUGUUGGAACCGGACCGCCGACACAUGGCGUGUCCGUUGGGGCCGCCCGCACACACGGUGCGCCCACCCAGGCUGUCGGGCCGCGACACACGCGCCCGCACGUAUAGCAGCGGACUUUAGGUCUCUUGGGCCAACACUCCCCCUAAAAAGCUAGCCUAAUAGGGGGUUGCACCCUCAACCAUAUAAACCAUGCUUUUCCACUCUCACCAGACAAUGUGAGACUAUUCCCAACAAUAGCCAAGAUUUGUCUGAGAAUGCACUGGGCCAACCUGGCUCUGAUACCAAUUGUUGGAACCGGACCGCCGACAUAUGGCGUGUCCGUCGGGGCCGCCCGCACACACGGUGCGCCCACCCAGGCUGUCGGGCCGCCACACACGCGCCCGCACAUAUAGCAGCGGACUUUAGGUCUCUUGAGCCAACACUCCCCAAAAAGCUAGCCUGAUAGGGGUUUGCACCCUCAACCUUAUAAACCAUGCUACCACACCCUCACCACACAAUGUGGGACUAUUCCCAACAAUCUCCCCCUCACACAUUGUGAGCCAAGAUUUGUUUGAGAAUGCACUGGGCCAACCUGCCUUUGAUACCAAUUGUUGGAACCGGACCGUCGACACACGGCGUGUCCGUCGGGACCGCCCGCACACACGGCGCGCCCAUCCAGGUUGUCGGGCCGCGACACACGCGCCCGCACGUAUAGCAGCGGGCUUUAGGUCUCUUGGGCCAACACUCCCCAAAAA